UUGGAGGGCAAGUCUGGUGCCAGCAGCCGCGGUAAUUCCAGCUCCAAUAGCGUAUAUUAAAGUUGUUGCAGUUAAAAAGCUCGUAGUUGAAUUUCGGGAUCAAUAUAUCGGUCGUGCCUUUGGUAUGUACUGGUAUUAUUGGUUUCUCCUUUCUGACAAACUAUGAUGUCAUUAAUUUGGUGUCAUGGGGAAUCAGGACUGUUACUUUGAAAAAAUUAGAGUGUUUAAAGCAGGCACACGCUUGAAUACAUUAGCAUGGAAUAAUGAAAUAGGACGUUUGACCCUAUUUUGUUGGUUUCUAGGAUCGACGUAAUGAUUAAUAGGGAUAGUUGGGGGCAUUAGUAUUCAAUUGUCAGAGGUGAAAUUCUUGGAUUUAUUGAAGACUAACUACUGCGAAAGCAUUUGCCAAGGAUGUUUUCAUUAAUCAAGAACGAAAGUUAGGGGAUCGAAGACGAUCAGAUACCGUCGUAGUCUUAACCAUAAACUAUGCCGACUAGGGAUCGGAUGAUGUUAAUUUUUUAAUGACUCAUUCGGCGCCUUACGGGAAAC
rnacentral:rRNA from 1 species